AUUGAACGCUGGCGGCAGGCCUAACACAUGCAAGUCGAGCGAGCGGCGGACGGGUGAGUAAUGUAUGGGGACUGCCCGAUAGAGGGUGAUAACUACUGGAAACGGUAGCUAAUACCGCAUACUAUCGGAUAACCCAUAUGGGAUUAGCUAGUAGGUCAGGUAAUGGCUCACCUAGGCGACGAUCCCUAGCUGGUCUGAGAGGAUGAUCAGCGAAACUGGAACUGAGACACGGCACAGACUCCUAGGGAGGCAGCAGUGGGGAAUAGUGCACAAUGGGCGCAAGCCUGAUGCAGCCAUGCCGAGUGUAUGAAGAAGGCCCUAGGGUUGUAAAGUACUUUCAGUCGGGAGGCGUUACCAAAAGAAGAAGCACCGGCUAACUCCGUGCCAGCAGCCGCGGUAAUAC
rnacentral:rRNA from 1 species